UACAUCUUAGGGUGAAAAUGUCCCAAGCAACAAGGCAAAGCAUCAUGAAGAGGCUGUUGAGCACUGUGCUGGGGCUUUUGUGCACCCAUGUUUGCUGUGUGAAAGGGCUGCAGGUGGAGCAGAAUCCCUCAGCCUUGAGUCUCCAGGAAGGAGCCAGUGCCACACUGUGGUGCAACUUUUCCACCUCUGUGAUCAGUGUGCAAUGGUUUCGCCAAAAUUCUGAGGGCCACCUCAUCAACCUGUUUUACAUUCCUUCAGGGACAAAGUGGAAUGGAAACUUAAAUGCUACGAAAAAGGAACGCCACAGUACAUUGUUUAUUUCCUCUUCCAAGACCACAGACUCAGCCACUUAUUUCUGUGCUGUGGAGCCACAGCGCUUCCCAGGCACCUGCAGCCCCUACACAAAUUCUCAGCUGA